rnacentral:rRNA from 1 species
AUCGAACGCUGGCGGCAUGCCUUACACAUGCAAGUCGAACGGCAGCACGGUUGCUUGCGCCUGGUGGCGAGUGGCGAACGGGUGAGUAAUACAUCGGAACAUGUCCUGUAGUGGGGAAUAGCCCGGCGAAAGCCGGAUUAAUACCGCAUACGAUCUACGUAUGAAAGCGGGGGGCCUUGGUGCCUCGCGCUAUAGGGUUGGCGGAUGGGUGAUGAGCUAGGUGGUGGGGUAAAGGCCUACCAAGGCGACGAUCAGUAGCCGAUCUGAGGGGAGGACGCGCACCAGUGGAGCUGAACCACCGCCCAGACGCCUACGGGAGGCCGCAGUGCGGAAUUUUGGCAAAUGGGGGGAAGCAUGAUCCAGCAGUGCAGGCUGUGUGAAGCAAGCCCUCGGGUUGUAAAGCACUUUUGUCGGGAAAGAAAUCCUUCGCCCUAAUCCGGUCGGGGGGUGACGGUACCGGGAGAAUAAGCACCGGCUAACUACGUG